AUGAAGAACGCAGCGAAAUGCGAUAAGUAAUGUGAAUUGCAGAAUUCAGUGAAUCAUCGAAUCUUUGAACGCACCUUGCACCCUUUGGCAUUCCGAAGGGUAUGCUCGUUUGAGUGUCAUUGUACUCUCACACUUCUGAUCCUUUGGAUUGGGAGCGGUGGACUUGGGUGUUGCUGCUUUACUGUGGCUCACCUCAAAUGCAUUCGUGCAACUCUUGGUUGGACAUAGUACGGCGUGAUAAGUAUCUUCGCCGGCACCUCGCAAGAGGGUGGCUGAUCAGGAGCUCUGUGCUUUCCAACUGUCUUCAGACAACAACUGACAACUUGACCUCAAAUCGAGUAGGACCACCCGCUGAACUUAAGCAUAUCAAUAAGCGGAGGA
rnacentral:misc_RNA from 1 species